rnacentral:rRNA from 1 species
UACGUAGGGGGCAAGCGGUUGUCCGGAUUUAUUGGGCGUAAAGAGCUCGUAGGUGGUUUGAUAAGUCGGACGUGAAAUCUCCACGCUCAACGUGGAGGGGCCGUUCGAUACUGUCGUGACUCGAGUCCGGUAGGGGAGUGUGGAAUUCCCGGUGUAGCGGUGAAAUGCGCAGAGAUCGGGAGGAACACCCGUAGCGAAGGCGGCACUCUGGGCCGGUACUGGACACUCAACUACGAAAGCGUGGGGAGCAAACAGG